AUUGAACGCUGGCGGCAUGCUUUACACAUGCAAGUCGAACGGUAACAGGCCUUCGGGUGCUGACGAGUGGCGAACGGGUGAGUAAUGCAUCGGAACGUACCCAGAGUAGGGGGAUAACGCAGCGAAAGCUGUGCUAAUACCGCAUGUGAUCUGAGCAUGAAAGCGGGGGACCGAGCAGCACUUUUUGGCCUCGCCCCUUUGGAGCGGCCGAUGUCGGAUUAGCUAGUUGGUGGGGUAAAGGCCUACCAAGGCGACGAUCCGUAGCUGGUCUGAGAGGACGACCAGCCACACUGGGACUGAGACACGGCCCAGACUCCUACGGGAGGCAGCAGUGGGGAAUUUUGGACAAUGGGCGCAAGCCUGAUCCAGCAAUGCCGCGUGCGGGAAGAAGGCCUUCGGGUUGUAAACCGCUUUUGGCAGGAACGAAACGGUGUCCGCUAAUACCGGGCGCUAAUGACGGUACCUGCAGAAUAAGCACCGGCUAACUACGUG
rnacentral:rRNA from 1 species